CUUUUUCGCCUUCUCUCCAUCUGUUUCUCUCUCGUGCUCUGUCCAUUUCCGUCUUUUUCUUAUUUAGUAUCUCUCUCUCGUUCCCCUCCCAUCUCUCUCUCUCUCUCUCUGUCUCUCUCGGCUCAUUGCCGAUCUCUCUGUUGGUAGUAACUGAUCAGUAAUGUCAGCUCGCCGGAUCAGUCGUUGCUGAUAAAAACAUUAUUCAUUUCAUCCAGCACGAGUUAUUCCGUUAGGGCGGGCUGAACAAAUCUGGGUACAAUAUGAAGGCAAAAAAUAAAAAAGAUAAAUAAAUAAAAUCCACAUUCGGAUGUUUUAAGAUCUGGUGCUUUACCUGGACGCACCUGACGCCAUGCGCCGCAUGUCUUACUCCAACAUUUAUUCCCCGAUUAAAUCUAAACAAACCCUAAACAGGAAAUUCGACCAUGUGUAAGUGAGUAAUUUAAAGCGAACGAUUGGAAGCGGUGUCCUGUUACCCGCACCGUGCACCACGCGGGUUCUCCACACGGUACGCUUUACCCGACCUACAGUUGUGCACCUUUCCAACAGUGGCUAUAACAGGGCUCAAAUACGCAGGAGAUGCCGGAAAAGUAAAGAACGUGCCGGACCUGGAGGAUUUUUCUGAAGAACAGCGGGCAGUUUAACAGCUCAGGACAAACAAGGGACUGGUGAAGAACUCUCACAGAACAUAAACACAUCACGUCGUGGAUCGUCCAGGUGACGACACACAGGGUUAAUAAUCAAGCGUGUGUAAACUUUUGAACAUGGCUUUGAACUUUCUAUAAAUUCAGCUAUUCUCUUGUCUUGUGGACUUUACGUAAACAUCUGUUAUAUAAGUGAAUUAGAUUAUCCAGGACAGGACUAAAUAAACAACAGCAUGGGAUUUUUAUCAUCCGUCGUAUUUUGUUAACAGUAUUGAGAUUUAGCAUGUUCUGCAAGGGGUGUGCAAACUUACAGGCACAACUGUGUGUGUGUGUGUGUGUGUGUGUGUGUGUGUUGAAGCCUGUUCGGAUUUAUCCGUAUUAUUUUUGCGGGAAGAUAGUUUUAUGUGGACCUCAGACGGUACGAGGGUGAGCCAAACGAUAACCAUUAAUUAAUUGAUUGAUUGAUUAAUUAAUCAAUUAAUUAAUUAAUUUUAAAAAAGUUUUGCGUUUACUUUUGUAAAUAGCCCCAAACGUGUAUUUAUUUUCUACGUAAUCUCACAUAAUUUUGUUCAACGCAAGUGAAAUUCCAGGGUUCAAGGGGUGCCCGGAUUCCUCUAGUGGGGAAGUAAACGAUCAGAUAAAUAAUUGGUCAUCAUAAUUACUCAUUUAUCCUGAAUAAAUAGUCGUCGAUAAUCAGAGUUAAUCGGCGUCGGUCCCUUUUAAAUACAGUAUAAAUGAAAUCGAUUGAUGUAGUGUAAAGCCUCGACUUCUUACGGCACAGACAUCUUUGUACGGUGUUUCAUAUAUGAAGGUGUUAAGAUCUGGGUUAAUGUUGGAUGAAUAAAUAUCGAUGCUAUGGGGAGUCUGUGCUGUACUGAAAGAUCUUUCUUGCCGCACACACACACACACCGACCACGCCUCCUGUCAACACGGUGUACUAUUUGCAACACACACUACUGAACAUGUGUGCACGCAUAGUCUUAUUCUGGCUCUGUAAUUCAGCGGGCUUAAAAUUAGUUCUUUCUACUACAGCAUUGAUGGGGCUUGUAUUACUGACACACACACACACACACACACACACACACACAGGGUGUAUUUACACAGCUGCUCUAAUGAGUGACUGAUGCUCUCUCUUUACAACUGCCAAUAGUGUGUGUGUGUGUGUGUGUGUGUGUGUGUUUUUCAGAUGAAGUUGUUUUGUUCUUCACAAACUCACAGGUUGCUUCCUUUCUUAAUCAUCGGUCUGAAUAAUAAUCCAGGAUUCCCAUUUUACGUGCGGAUACCGAAGAUAAUCCGGAUACCGUUCAGACAUAAUUCCAGAGAUACUCGCUCGCGCACCACGAGUUAUUACAGUAACACACCGAGACGCGGACGCACACCAUCGCCGGUAUAUAACGACGCACGCCGACGUGAAACCGUACCCGCUUUGUGUAAUCUGCGCCUGUGCUCGCAAACGCCGUGUUCUGCCGCGUUUCCCUCCAGUUUUAUUAGAGGUUGGCUUUGUAUUGUGCCGGGGAAUUAAAUAACCUCAGCGCCCCUCUGGCUAAUGAAUCGUCAAAUCGUCGUGUCGCGGAGUAUGCGCUCGGGGUCCGGGAGCGUACGAGUGUACGGCGGCUUUAUGUGGAAAGACGCCGAUGAUGCUAACGCCGGCCUGAUCCAAGCACCGUAGACGCGAGAGAUUUCAAAUCCAGACUUUCGUUUAAACGCCGUUUCUUUAAGUGAGUGGGAUGCGAUCAUCCCUUUUUAAAAUUUAUUUUAAAUGUAUUUAUUUUUGCCAGAUACUACUCUCAACCCUUACGCCUCAUUAGACCCGCUUAGAAUGAAUUCCUGCGUGUCCUGUCCCGCACUCACGGAGAAUCCGCUUGGAGUGAAUGCUUAUACGAGGCACCGAAUGCAUCUGGUAAAAGGGUUCCACAGCUUUACGUUCUGUACGUGCGAUUAAAGCGUGCGCGGUUCAAGCUGCGCGGUUUCUGCAUGCUGUGUGUAAUUUCCAGCAGCCUUUUAAACACUAAAAGGUCUCUUCAUAGUCAUUCACCAGCACGCAUGAGGGACAUGUUGAUUUGUCGCUUCUCUGCUGUCACCUAAAUGGUUAGCUGUAGUCAUCAGCUAGCGUACGCGUAGUGUCUGUGUAUAUCAGUUGCCUAGCAACAGUGUUCUUCGAUCGUACAGCUUCCCCGGUUUUCAUAACUGUGCUUCUGUUUUUAUUUGUUUGUUUGUUUGUUUAACUCCUCCAUAGUGGAUUUCUAAAUCUGUUAGUUUGUUCGUUCGUUCGUUCGUCUACUUAUUUCUCACAAUCUUCCACAGUGGAGAAGUCCUACAGCAUUUUUAAUGUUUGUUCGUUCGUUCGUUUGUUUUUUUGUUGCCUAGAACUGUUCCGUCACUCUUUGAUUUGUUUGCGUAUUCAUGUUGUUUUUUUCUUUCUCAAUUCUUUUGAAUUCUUCAAUACUUAUGCGUCUGAGUCUUCCAUACUGGAGACUUCGAGCACAUUGUUAAUGGUGUUUAAAUCGUGUUUGUUUGUUUGUUUGUUUUGCUAGCUGGUUUGUUUGAAUCUUCCGUAGUGGCGACUUUUAGAACUGCGGUUCGGGUUUUUAAUGAAUGAAUGAAUUACUUUUUAAUUAGUUUUACUGCUCGUGGAAUUUCAUUAACAAAACUGGGAGAAGUUUAACAGACAUUUACCGAGUGUACUGUGUGUCUGUGUGAGGUCUUUAAAAUCACACCACCACCCAUGAGAACAUCCUGCAUGGACCACAGGAGGGGUGUGUGUGUGAGAGAGAGGAGAACGUUCUGGGCUAUGUGCGUGACUGUGAUGUGGGAAUCCGGCUCCGCGGUGGUGAUCUUUUCACCUUUUGAUGUUGGAUGGUUGCUACACUGUGACAUUAAGUACUGUCGAUUGAUCCCGAAUGCACGCACACACACGCGCACACCCCAAACAAGAGCACGUACGUACCGGAGGAACAGUUGACACAGAACAGAACACCCAGCAUUUGUGCGAGAGCGUGUUAUUUAAGUAAGAAGGUGUGUGUGCGUAUUGUAGGAGCUCUUUGCUGCGUGUAAACACUCUGAGGCUAUUUGUUUGCCUCUUCUUCCCUGUGUGUGUGUGUGUGUGUGUGUGUGUGUGUUUUGUGCGUAUUGAUUCCUUCUGUCCAUCUCUCUAGCUCUGACCUGACAGCUGGUUAGGUGCAGGAUGUGACGCGCGAUGACCGUAUUACUCACAGUUCCUGAUUUGUAGCACGUCUUGUCCUUUCGCGACAGCACAUGAUGGUAACAUCUCAACAAGCUUGGGAUCUCAAGUAAACAUGCACCUUUUAUUUACGAUCCCCCGAGUAAACGGAAGUUCCGUGAGAAGCCGCAGGUCGUUAACGAUCCCUCAUGAGCGAGUCACAAGUCCACCUAAUCGAAGACGUUUCCACUAGAUCGAGAAGGUUGCAAUAUGUCUCCUGCGUCCUAUAAAACGUAUCACGCUGUCGGUCGCUACGGUCCGAGUCCUUCGGCUAAUGAAAUCAGUGCUACAUGUGACAGAUGUUGUGUUUUGGUUACAGUAUGAAGGAGCUGAAACUACAGCCAGCCGUACAGGCUGAAUGUCAGCUUGAGUGAGCUUUAUAUACGCCUGAGUGGCUGAAGAUGGAUCCAUUCAUCUAAAACGUCCAGCUCGGUUAACAUCACUCCCGACGCAACACGCGCACCAACCUAAUCGAGGCCAGAAACACACCCGGUAUACAUAACGCUACCUGCGACCUGAAUCUAGCUGAGUGCGAGCUGAAAAGAAACUCGUCCAGCGUUGCCAGGAAAACACACACACACACACACACACACCCCAGACUCAUCAUUAUCGCCGUGUCCCAAUUCGCCUACUAUCCGUCCUAAAUACCACCCGAGAUUAGAAUUAGCACGCCCCAGAUCGUAGUAUAUUCAAACGAGUAUCCCAAAGGUACCCGGAUGGUCUACUAUUUCCUGUAGGUUUUCCAAGCGUGGAUCCGUGGACACUUUUUCAGCUAAUAUUGCCCACAGAUCCUUGCGCGAGUGCGGGAGGAGCUUUUGUGACGAUUUGCUUCACCCCGAAUCCAACCUGGCGGACGAGUGUAACGUCUGUGAUGCGUCAUAAGCGUAAGAACUCAACUGUUAAGCACUAACCGACGUUUUUUAAAUUUACUUAUUUAUUUAUUUUUAUCGUCACGUAAGAUUUAAUGUUGUGUAAAAAGAGUACCAUGUUUAUCACUUUAAAAAAUAUAUAUAUUUAAAUAAAGAAAGAAAUCAAGGGGACGGGAAAUUAAAUGACGUACAUUUUAGAACGCGAUGCGACGAGGAGUUUGUUUACGGUGACGGCGUGCGUAACUAGGCAACGCGUCUUUCUUCACAAAAACGAGUACAUACGUUUAGC
ensembl:lncRNA